rnacentral:rRNA from 1 species
CGUAAUAAUAGAAACUAACCAGGAUUCCCUUAGUAACGGCGAGUGAACUGGGAUACCCAAUAUACCAUCUGUGCGUACCUCGGUGCGUACAAAUUUUAGCCCGUCGAUACUAUCACGCUAGCAUAGUACUGGCUUCGGCCGGUAACCUAUCUAUGCGCGAAUUGUAGCAUCGUACAAAAAUAUAUUAUACAACGUAUAUAUACGCAACCCAGACUUAUAUAUAUUUUUUAUGCGUACACUGUACUUGUCAUAAACACACAGCGCUCUCGCGUUGGAAAGGCAAGGUUUAUAUCCUUUUUUGGAUACGCCAUAGAGUGUGACAGCCACGUUUCAACUCUACGUACGUACGUAUACACACCGUAUAUACAUACACUGUAGUAUAUAUUAACCUGAGUCGAGUUAUUU